UGGUUCCAGCAUCGAUGAAGAACGCAGCGAAAUGCGAUAAGUAAUGCGAAUUGCAGAUAUCAGUGAGUCAUCGAAUCUUUGAACGCACAUUGCACCCCUUGGUAUUCUAAGGGGUAUACCUAUUCGAGCGUCAUAGUCCCACUUCAAGCUCUAGCUUGGUCUUGGCUCGUGCUACCUCUAGCGGUUGCAGGGCUUAAACAUUAUCUAGGCCUAGGUGAUGGUACCGAGUAAAGUAAAAUACCUACCCAGGGACCUCGCCGAAACCCUAAAACCUCCCAAGUCUGGAUGACCUCGGAUUAGGUAGGAGUACCCGCUGA
rnacentral:misc_RNA from 1 species